GCGGCGUGCUUAACACAUGCAAGUCAAACGCGAAAGGGACUUCGGUCCUUAGUAGAGUGGCGCACGGGUGAGUAACGCGUGGGAACGUACCCUGGAGUGGGGAAUAACCAUUGGAAACGAUGGUUAAUACCGCAUAAUGUCUUCGGACCAAAGAUUUAUCGCUCUUGGAUCGGCCCGCGUUAGAUUAGUUUGUUGGUGGGGUAAUGGCCUACCAAGACUACGAUCUAUAGCUGGUUUGAGAGGACGACCAGCCACACUGGGACUGAGACACGGCCCAGACUCCUACGGGAGGCAGCAGUGGGGAAUAUUGGACAAUGGGCGCAAGCCUGAUCCAGCCAUGCCGCGUGAGUGAUGAAGGCCUUAGGGUUGUAAAGCUCUUUCAACGGUGAAGAUGAUGACGGUAACCGUAGAAGAAGCCCCGGCUAACUUCGUGCCAGCCGCCGCAGUAA
rnacentral:rRNA from 1 species